rnacentral:rRNA from 1 species
GCGCACCAGUCGCGAAACCUCCGCAAUACACGAAAGUGUGACGGGGCCACCCGAGUGCCGUCCGCUGAGGACGGCUUUUCCCCAGUGUACAUAGCUGGGGGAAUAAGGAGAGGGCAAGCCUGGUGUCAGCCGCCGCGGUAAUACCAGCUCUCCGAGUGGUGGGGACGCUUAUUGGGCCUAAAGCAUCCGUAGCCGGCUGGGCAAGUCCUCCGUUAAAUCCAACGAUUCAAUCGUUGGGCUGCGGGGGAUACUGUCCAGCUUGGGGGCGGGAGAGGCCGACGGUAUUCCCGGGGUAGGGGUGGAAAUCCUAUAAAUCCCGGGAGGACCACCAGUGGCGAAGGCUGUCGGCUAGAACGCGCCCGACGGUGAGGGGAUGAAAGCUGGGGGAGCGAACCGGAUUAGAUACCCG